rnacentral:rRNA from 1 species
UACGGGGGGUGCAAGCGUUGUUCGGAAUCAUUGGGCGUAAAGCGCGUGUAGGCGGCUUGGUAAGUCAGGUGUGAAAGCCCUGGGCUCAACCCAGGAAGUGCACUUGAUACUGCCUUGCUUGAGUACGGGAGAGGAAAGCGGAAUUCCUGGUGUAGAGGUGAAAUUCGUAGAUAUCAGGAGGAACACCGGUGGCGAAGGCGGCUUUCUGGCCCAAUACUGACGCUGAGACGCGAAAGCGUGGGGAG